rnacentral:piRNA from 1 species
UGAGGUCAUGUUGUUCUUUGAAGCAGUGG